AGUGAACGCUGGCGGCAGGCCUAACACAUGCAAGUCGAGCGGCAGCGGGUUCCCGCGAGGGGAUGCCGGCGAGCGGCGGACGGUGAGGAACACAUCGGAAUCUGCCUGGUUGUGGGGGAUAACGUAGGGAAACUUACGCUAAUACCGCAUGCGACCCUGAGUCGACGGACUUGGGGUGAAAGUGAGGGACCUUCGGGCCUCACGCGACCAGAUGAGCCGAUGUCGGAUAGCUAGUUGGCGGGGUAACGGCCCGCCAAGGCGACGAUCCGUAGCUGGUCUGAGAGGAUGAUCAGCCACACUGGGACUGAGACACGGCCCAGACUCCUACGGGAGGCAGCAGU
rnacentral:rRNA from 1 species